CAGGCAGUAGCUCAACAGCAGAGCGUCGGCUUGCCAAGUCGAAGACGAGGGAGCGUCACCCUCUUGCCUGA
rnacentral:tRNA from 1 species